GUUCAACCCCUUCCCUAACUA
rnacentral:tRNA from 1 species